UACGGAGGGUGCAAGCGUUAUCCGGAUUCACUGGGUUUAAAGGGUGCGUAGGUGGGCUGAUAAGUCAGCGGUGAAAUCCCCGAGCUUAACUUGGGAACUGCCAUUGAUACUAUCGGUCUUGAAUCUCGCGUAGGUAAGCGGAAUAUGUCAUGUAGCGGUGAAAUGCUUAGAUAUGACAUAGAACACCAAUUGCGAAGGCAGCUUACUUCACGAGCAUUGACACUGAGGCACGAAAGCGUGGGGAGCAAACAGG
rnacentral:rRNA from 1 species